GUUUUGCAGGAAUUGCCGAACUUCACAAAUGGUGCGGCACAUAUUGGUGUCAAAAGGAUGGGUGAGCUGGAUCUGAAAGCAUUUGCGAAUGCUUGCAGCAAAAAUGCACCACAAGAAGAUGCAGAAGUUCACUCUGCUAUUCUUUGUUCACAAUGGCAGGCUGAAAUCGCAAAACCAGGCUGGCAUCCUUUCAGGAUAGUUAUGGUUGAUGGUAAAGAGACGGAAAUUCUUUCGGAGGAGGAUGACAAGCUUUGCAGCUUAAAAGAGGAGCAUGGUGAGGAAAUCUACAGCUUAGUGACCAAGGCGCUACUUGAGAUGAACGAGUACAACCCGAGCGGACGCUACGCCGCACCGGAGCUGUGGAACCAUAAGAAUGACAGGAAAGCAACGCUGGAGGAAGCCAUCCAGUUCCUCCUGAGACAGCUGCAGUCACACAAGAGGAAGCGCCGGUGA
rnacentral:rRNA from 1 species